rnacentral:misc_RNA from 1 species
GAUGAAGAACGCAGCGAAAUGCGAUAAGUAGUGUGAAUUGCAGAAUUCAGUGAAUCAUCGAAUCUUUGAACGCACAUUGCGCCCCCUGGUAUUCCGGGGGGCAUGCCUGUCCGAGCGUCAUUACAACCCUCAAGCUCAGCUUGGUGUUGGGGCCUGCUGCACUGGCAGCCCUUAAAAUCAGUGGCGGCGCCAUCUGGCUCUAAGCGUAGUAAUUCUUCUCGCUAUGGAGUCCUGGUGGAUGCUUGCCAUCAACCCCCAAUUUUUCUAUGGUUGACCUCGGAUCAGGUAGGGAUACCCGCUGAACUUAAGCAUAUCAAUAAGCGGAGGA